CCUACGGGAGGCAGCAGUAAGGAAUAUUGGUCAAUGGACGCAAGUCUGAACCAGCCAUGCCGCGUGAAGGAUUAAGGCCCUCCGGGUUGUAAACUUCUUUUAUAGGGGACGAAAAAGGGCAUUCUUGCUCACUUGACGGUACCCUAGGAAUAAGCACCGGCUAACUCCGUGCCAGCAGCCGCGGUAAUACGGAGGGUGCAAGCGUUAUCCGGAUUUACUGGGUUUAAAGGGUGCGUAGGUGGGUUGGUAAGUCAGUGGUGAAAUCUUCGAGCUUAACUCGGAAACUGCCAUUGAUACUAUCAAUCUUGAAUCAUCUAGAGGUAAGCGGAAUAUGUCAUGUAGCGGUGAAAUGCUUAGAUAUGACAUAGAACACCAAUUGCGAAGGCAGCUUACUAUGGAUGUAUUGACACUGAGGCACGAAAGCGUGGGGAUCAAACAGGAUUAGAUACCCUGGUAGUCCACGACCUAACGAUAGAUACUACGACAUUGUGUAUAUACUAUAAGUAGUCUGAGNGAAGANAUAAGUAUACCACCGACGGAGACGAACCGCGAGUUAGAAGUACAAUUAGAAGUUGAGGCGNGAGAGNGCGACGGACGACGACGAGGGAGGAGG
rnacentral:rRNA from 1 species